rnacentral:rRNA from 1 species
CCUACGGGCGGCAGCAGUGAGGAAUAUUGGUCAAUGGGCGCUAGCCUGAACCAGCCAAGUAGCGUGAAGGAUGACUGCCCUAUGGGUUGUAAACUUCUUUUAUAUGGGAAUAAAGUGCAGUAUGUAUACUGCUUUGCAUGUACCUUAUGAAUAAGGAUCGGCUAACUCCGUGCCAGCAGCCGCGGUAAUACGGAGGAUCCGAGCGUUAUCCGGAUUUAUUGGGGUUAAAGGGAGCGUAGGCGGGUUGUUAAGUCAGGUGUGAAAGUUUGCGGCGCAACCGUAAAAUUGCAGUUGAUACUGGCAGCCUUGAGUACAGUAGAGGUAGGCGGAAUUCGUGGUGUAGCGGUGAAAUGCUUAGAUAUCACGAAGAACUCCGAUUGCGAAGGCAGCCUGCUGGACUGUAACUGACGCUGAUGCUCGAAAGUGUGGGUAUCAAACAGGAUUAGAUACCCUGGUAGUC